CAUGCAGUUCAGUGAAGAGUAUCAAAUACAUUUGCAAAUAUGUUAAUAAAGGAAGUGAUGUGGCUGCUUUUAUUUUUGGAAAUACUAAUGUAAAUGCUCCUCCGUUGAAUGAAAAUGACGAAAUUACGAAUUACCAAAUAGGCCGGACUUCAAAUGAAGCUGUUUUGUAUUUUCGGUUUCUCAAUUCAUGAACGGGAUCCAGAAGUCAUCCAUUUAAUCAGGUACAACAGUCUAACGAUAUCAUUCAGUGAUGCAAUGUACAAUGAAUCAUUGAUUGCUAUCGAGGAUCUUUGCUUUGCUAAUCGAAGUGCAUCUGUUUUACUCAACACAUACAUAUAUGAAUCGUGAACUACAGUACAAUGCUGUGGAAAUGGCAGGCAUUGUUAUUCGCAAUGUUCCAUUACUAAAUGAUGAACAAAAAAUUGUUUACGACCGCAUUAUGAUGGCAGUUUCGGCAGGACAAGGAGGAUUCUUUUUUUUUGGAUGCACCAGGUGGAACUGGCAAAACGUUCCUUAUAUUGCUACUUAUUGCCGAGAUACGCUCAAAAAAUGGCAUCGCAUUGGCCGUUGCUUCUUCUUAAAUUUCAGCAACUUUGUUCGAUGGAGGCAGAACAGCUCAUUCAGCAUUUAAGCUGCCGUUGAACAUUCAAAAUAAUCCAGAUGCAGUGAGCAACAUAAAAAAUUCAUUGCAUUCCAUGUAUAAUAUCAGGGUAUUUCCGAAUAGAGCAAUGUUCUCGCAAACGGAUCACUGACGAAAGUUGAGAAAAAACUCGUCAAUGUUAACAUUAACAUAAACACGUAAAUAGCAUGGUUUGAAUUUGGUUAGCAUUCUCAUUAAUGUUUAAAAUGAAAAAAGUUGUUGUAGUGACAUAACUACAAUAGUUGGACAUAUGCUACCGCUGAGUUUUUUGUAGACAUUGGGUCUCUUGCAUAAAAACGAGUAAAAGCGCUGAGUUGAGUCAAGUGAGCAAUUGCUCGUAAGUCGAGUUCGAUCAAACAGCAACAGCUCUUGCUCAAUUUCGUAUGCAUAAAAAUUAGUUCAAACCAAUUACAAUGACUUGAGUAAACGGAGAUCAAACCUCUAAGUGCAAACAUGUCGUCAAGUGGAAGUGAGUUUGAAGUAGAGCUAAAAAAUAAUAAUAAGAUGGAAAUUGACGAUAUUUCAAAAUUUUUAGUAGAAAAAAAAAAGAAAAUAAAUAUUUGCUCAAAAAAAGUCAGUUACCAAGUAUAAAAAGUAAAAAAAAACAAGCAAUAGAAAUAUGUGUGAAGGAAAUUUGGCAAAAAUUUGGAAUUGAACUGUCGGAGAAAAACAUUAUAAAAAAAUAGCAAACAUGAAAUGCCGGGUCAAAAGUAAAAUAGACAUAAAUAAAACAGGCAACAAAAAGAUUAUUUUAAAAAACUGGGAAGCAGAAUUAUCCUCAUUGCUUUGUUCGGAUUGUAAUCCCUCAACAAACAAACUUCCUGUUCAUCUUUUUCUUGGAAGCAAUGGCGACAACUGUACGCUGUCUGUCAAUACAUUAGAAGAGACAUCAGCAACAACAACAUCAGAAACAAAAACCACAGCAACAUCAGCAGCAGAAGAGCAAAGAAAGCGCCGUUGCACUGAUAGCGACGAUCAAACUGUUAACAAAAAGUCAACAGCAGUUUUGAGUCGUUAUGAGACUGAUGAGACAAGGCAGUUAAAUUUUCAAAGUCUGCAGAGGCUUGUUUUCUUAAAGCAAAACAAAGUUCUUUCCGCAAAAUUACAGAUUUUGUAAGAAAAACUUGGGGAAAGAGGGUUGGAGUUCCCUGAAUAAUUACAUUUAUUAAUAUAUAAUUAAUUGUUAUUAUAUUUUUGUGCAUUUAUUAUUUUUAUUCGUUAAAUAGUGAAUUACAUUAAUUUUGUUUUUGUAUAAAAAGGUGGAUUUUAUUAAU